rnacentral:rRNA from 1 species
CCCAGACUCCUACGGGAGGCAGCAGUGGGGGAUAUUGCACAAUGGGGGGAACCCUGAUGCAGCGACGCCGCGUGGGUGAAGGAGCGUUUCGGCGCGUAAAGCCCUAUCGGCAGGGAAGAAGGAGGACGGUACCUGACUAAGAAGCCCCGGCUAACUACGUGCCAGCAGCCGCGGUAAUACGUAGGGGGCAAGCGUUAUCCGGAUUUACUGGGUGUAAAGGGGGCGCAGAUGGCAGCGCAAGCCAGGAGUGAAAGCCCGGGGCCCAACCCCGGGACUGCUCUUGGAACUGCGCGGCUGGAGUGCAGGAGGGGCAGGCGGAAUUCCUGGUGUAGCGGUGAAAUGCGUAGAUAUCAGGAGGAACACCGGUGGCGAAGGCGGCCUGCUGGACUGCGACUGACGUUGAGGCCCGAAAGCGUGGGGAGCAAACAGGAUUAGAUACCCUCGUACAG